AACUUUUAACAACGGAUCUCUUGGUUCUGGCAUCGAUGAAGAACGCAGCGAAAUGCGAUAAGUAAUGUGAAUUGCAGAAUUCAGUGAAUCAUCGAAUCUUUGAACGCACAUUGCGCCCCCUGGUAUUCCGGGGGGCAUGCCUGUUCGAGCGUCAUUUCACCACUCAAGCCUCGCUUGGUAUUGGGCAACGCGGUCCGCCG
rnacentral:rRNA from 2 species